AUGCGACGCGGGCUCAGAUCCAGCACGCCCACAACACUCUUUUUGCUGGAGGACGCCAUGGAAAAGGUGCUCUGGCCCUGGUACUGCAGCCAUGGAGAGGUGCCCUCCCAUCUUUAUGUGCGUGUUUGUUGGAUGGUGAGAAAAGAUAACUGGAUCAAGAGCUACUUCGAUGCCAUCCUCGACAUCGGCAAGUCAGCCGACGGUGGCGUACAGGACCAAGGAGAGGAGCAGCGGGCCAGGAGGUCUGACCCUCCCCUAUGCCCCCAUGGCCAUGGUGUGUACUGGGCAUUCUACUUUGUUAUUCCUCUUUAA
rnacentral:rRNA from 1 species